rnacentral:pre_miRNA from 1 species
ACUGAUCGCCCGAGCGCAUUCCCGUACACGACGAGGCCCGCGCCCCCUGAGCUGGGGACGCGGGCCUCGUCGUACGCGCUCGGGCGGGUCAG